rnacentral:misc_RNA from 1 species
GGGUUCGAGCCCCGCCGGUCGAGCCCUUGAUGGAGGGAGAUCUUCUCUUCUGGUUAGCGGACCGGGGCUCCCCGGCGAGAGCGCGUGCUGAGGGACCAUGAGGUCGUCUGUUCGAUCCCGUCUGGCUCCACCAGAUGGUUUGAUCACCGCGAUCUUGACCGUCGUCCGCGAAACAUCACUUGACAUCCUGCUAGUCUGGAUAGACAGCAGUUUGCGUGUUUUCUGACAUCGUAAAGAGGAGAUCGAUCCGAGUUGGGUCGUGCAGCAUAUCGUUGCGCGAGCCUUCAUUAUCUCCGGAUCAUUUCGGCGCUCGCUUCCAGCCGUGAGGUUGGAUGCGGGUUGUAAAUGAUCCUUUUAGCGAAGCUUGACCGCCUCGCUAUCGGAACGAUCUUACGAAGCAAGCUGGUCUUUCUAGUCAAUGUCCGGCUGCGGAUAGCGUUCAUCGAGGGCGCGUGCCGCAAGGCAAUUCUGCAGACAACAUUCUGCCGAGUGUGUGGACAUUGAUAAUGAGAGCAAUCAAGUGCCUUAAGGGUGUUCGGUGGAUGCCUUGGCGCUGAGAGGCGAUGAAGGACGUGCUACGCUGCGAUAAGCCGUGGGGAGCUGCGAAGAAGCUUUGAUCCGCGGAUUUCCGAAUGGGGAAAACCCGGA